CCUGGCUCAGGAUGAACGCUAGCGACAGGCCUAACACAUGCAAGUCGAGGGGCAGCGCGGGAGAAGCUUGCUUUCCUGGCGGCGACCGGCGCACGGGUGCGUAACAGGUGUGCAAUCUGUCCAUAGUCGGGGGAUAGCCCAGCGAAAGCUGAAUUAAUACUCCAUGUGAAUCGAAGCCGCAUGACUUUGAUUUGAAACGCAAGGACUAUGGGUGAGCACGCUUCUGAUUAGAUAGUUGGUGGGGUAACGGCUCACCAAGUCGACGAUCAGUAGGGGUUCUGAGAGGAAGGUCCCCCACAUUGGAACUGAGACACGGUCCAAACUCCUACGGGAGGCAGCAGUGAGGAAUAUUGGUCAAUGGGCGAGAGCCUGAACCAGCCAAGUCGCGUGAAGGAUGAAGGUUCUAUGGAUUGUAAACUUCUUUUGUCCGAGGGUAAAAAAGGCCACGUGUGGCUUCUUGCAAGUAUCGGACGAAUAAGCAUCGGCUAACUCCGUGCCAGCCGCGGC
rnacentral:rRNA from 1 species